CAAAAGCGUAUAUUAAAGUUGUUGCAGUUAAAAAGCUCGUAGUUGAACCUUGGGCUUGGCUGGCCGGUCCAUCUUUUUUGAUGCGUACUGGACCCAGCCGAGCCUUUACUUCUGGCUAGCCUUUUGGCGAACCAGGACUUUUACUUUGAAAAAAUUAGAGUGUUCAAAGCAGGCCUUUGCUCGAAUAUAUUAGCAUGGAAUAAUAGAAUAGGACGUUAUGGUUCUAUUUUGUUGGUUUCUAGGACCAUCGUAAUGAUUAAUAGGGACGGUCGGGGGUAUCAGUAUUCAGUUGUCAGAGGUGAAAUUCUUGGAUUUACUGAAGACUAACUACUGCGAAAGCAUUUACCAAGGACGUUUUCAUUAA
rnacentral:rRNA from 1 species